CUUGGUGACGAUUGCGCGGGGACACACCUCUUCCCAUUCCGAACAGAGUCGUUAGCCCCGUUGCGCCGAUGGUACUGCAUCUGAACUGGUGUGGCAGAGUAGGUAGUCGCCAGGU
rnacentral:rRNA from 1 species